CGCGUAGACGGUUCUGUAAGUCAGAUGUGAAAUCCCUGGGCUCAACCUGGGAACUGCAUUUGAUACUGCAUGGCUAGAGUAUGGAAGAGGGAAGUGGAAUUUCCGGUGUAGCGGUGAAAUGCGUAGAUAUCGGAAGGAACACCAGUGGCGAAAGCGACUUCCUGGUCCAAUACUGACGUUCAUGUGCGAAAGCGUGGGGAGCAAACAGGAUUAGAUACCCUGGUAGUCCACGCCAUAAACGAUGACAACUAGAUGUUGGGAGGGUCUGCCUCUCGGUGUCGCAGCUAACGCGUUAAGUUGUCCGCCUGGGGAGUACGGCCGCAAGGUUGAA
rnacentral:rRNA from 1 species